UGGUGUUGAAGUAGAGGUUCCCGACAAAGUCAAAAAGUCUUAAUGCAAAAAUGCUAAUCUAAGUGGUUCUUUUAAGCAUUUAAAAUCAAAAACGGGUUGGUGCAGACUCUAACACGGGAGGAGGGUUAAAAUGUUAAUGCACCAGUCUUGCAGUAAAACCAGCGAAACACAUGGACAUUAUGUGCGUUUAGGCGUGAAGUUGAUUUGGUUGUUCCUGCACUAAAAACAAAAUGUCAGUGUCAAAGUCUGGUGUUUAUUAUCUACAUUGUUGUGCAUGUGUCAGAUCAAUGAAGAUGCAUUAAAAUAGUUAACAGGGAGUUAGUCUGGAUGCAGACACUUGUUUUCAGGGGUUGGUGUGAAAACUGCUGGUGCACUUUAUGACGUCUCUUUGCUCAGACAGUCGGGUAGAAGUGGCUCUGUAUCGUCUGUUUAUUCUACCACCAACUCAAAUGUAUCCUGCAGUUAUAGUUUCAGUUUGAAAUCAACCUGGCUGUUGGUUUUUCUUGUAUUUGUAAGUAAUUAUCUCUAUUGGUGAGUAAGCAGGAGCAGUCUGCAGACAACUGUACACAUUCCCUGUCUCGUGGUGAGGUUGCCAGGCAAUGUGAGCUGCUGGAUUGAGGUUGCUCUAUGGCUUUUUUUUGCUCUCUCAGACUGCUUUCUCCAUUGCUCUCUGUCUUCCACCCCCCAAUCUCUCCUUCUCAGCCCCUCUCUCCUCAUCUGCAUACUAAUAGAUGGACUAAAAGCGUAUGAAAAACCAGGACUGUCAAACAGAUUAUUGAUAUUCGUCACUUUCUAGUGUCUUUGCUGAGAAAGAAGUUUAAGGACACUUCAUCUAUUGUUAUCUGCUGAAUUUAUAGUUGGCACUAAUUUGCUGUGUCGGACAUAGCAGACAGUAAGUCUACUACUGUCUCUGCUGUUAAUGUUGGUGAAUAGGUUUUAUUCUGUCGUGGUCCACAAGAGCGUUUUCUUUAUCUUUGUGUUACAAUCAAAGGAGGGCAGAGUCCAAGUUCAAGAGAAGUACAUCAUCUUCUCUUGUGACUGUUUUUGCCGUUUUGUGCUUUUUUCUAAAACUACAAAACAGACAUUUUUCAAAAACUUCAGCAUCCUUAUCCCCACAGCAUCUGUAAACAAGAAGGAAUCAUUACUCUGACACCAACUCACAAACAGAGACUUUUGUCUCUUUUUAUACAUCGUAAACAAGGAAACUCUUAAUGACUGUGGCGUUAGCACUUCUCUUAGAAUUAAGUGUAAAUUCCUGUAGAAUGCAGUUAUACUCUUUUGUCUUUCGAUUAAGUUAUUACAGACAAGCAAAAAGCCACAUAUGAGUAUGAAAAGUCAGCAUUUUUAGUCAUGGAGGGGUUCCUCAAUGACCAGAUUCCUCUUCCAGAUAGGCCUUAUCCUCAGGAGACAGGUAUAAUUAGAGCAAUGGAAACAGGAAACACCUCGCCCUCCCUAUCGUUUUCUCCCUCCUCCCUCUCUCUCUCUCUUCCUCUAUCUGUGUUACUCUCCCUCUUCUCCACCUCUUCUUACUCAGAUGUGUAGUUUUUUGGAGUAAAUUAUCAUGUGCAGAGACGUGGAGUAAGACUUAUAAUGAGCCCUGUGAUGGUUAUCAGUGAGUCUUACAUCCUCGGGUUUACUGGAAAUGAGGACAUCUCUUGUGCCGGACUUUUUUUCUGAGAGAGCAAUUAGUGAGCUAUUCAAUGAGGACAGUUUGUAGAGAUUCUGACCUUUUUUAUUGACCUCUGUAUUUCUGUUACAAAAAAUACUGACAAGUGUCAGCAUUUUAAACUAAACUGGAGACUUAUGUGAGUCUUAAUGUUCUUGAGAAAUUCUAGAAAUACUAGAAUUGUACCUCGACCUCCUGACACGCGACCAUUCAUACGAAAUAGAUUAUUAUUUUUCCAUCUAUCUAAAAAGGAUUUUUUUGUACUAAAAAGUGGUAAAAAAAAAUUAAAUACAUUUUAAAAAUAAUAAUAAUAAAAUUCUCAUGGAAAGGAGGGGAUUAUUUUUUCUGUAUUCCAAUGAAGUGUGAAAUAAAUAAUAAAACUGUUUAUGCCAACCCACCAAACAUCGGAUGUCGAAGAGACGUGCAGAUCAAGUUAGUAUUGGGUCGGUCUAUCAAAGACCACAUCUAGACAUCAGUGCGACGUGCAAAAUAGGUUAGAAAUUUCGAUGUCCGAAUUGGACCUUUUUUUAGACGUCGCUCUGACGUUUAGAAUUUGGACGUCAUCUGAAGACCAAAUCUAGACGUCAGCACAACAUGCAAAAUGGAUCCAAGAUUUAGACGUCAUUAUUGGACCUCUUUUAGACGUUGAAAUGACGACCACAUUUGUACCUCAUCGUCGAAAAAAUACGUUAAAUAGAUGUCAUUUCAGCGUUGCGUUGCGCAGUGGGAGAAGGCCUGCAGUAAUCCAAUACAAAAUCGAGAAACACAAUCUCACAUUUCAGAAACUCCUACAACUACUACUUCUCUAAUUCUGUGGCACACAUCACAAAUGUGAGAGGAUGAGCAAACAUGUCUAUUUACAAUCAUGAUUGAGGUCUCUAGUGCGACAUCAGCUGUUCUUUACCGGAGUCUUUCUGUGUUAAUGGGGCAUUCAGCUUGACUUACCUCAGUGUUUUGGCCUUGAGUGCCAGUGAUUCACUUUGGGUGAAUGUUUGUUUACACACCUUUAGUUGUUCAGCCUAAUGUUAGGGAAGUAUUAGAGAAGCCUCUAAUCUUCACUCUUUCCUCCAAAGAUUAAAGACCCUGCACAGACCAGGUGUACAGUUCAGACUAAGGAUUAGCCACCCAUCCUUCUUCCUCCACAUAAGUGACCUGCUUGUGUUCCGUGAUACUGCGCUGUGGAGGUGCACAGAUCAUUUUCAGCUUCUCUUUACUUACCUUAAAUAGUCCCUCCUUCCUUGAAGAAAGAAAAAAGUCAGUGUUUUUUAUUGAUUCAGAGGAGUGGCUCCCACCUUUCCCCCUGCCUGGUGUGGAAUGCACACCUGGAGGUGUUUGCUGAGUGGCUCUAGUAAUCCACAGAACAAUGCAGGCUGACAUCUGGUGCGGUCCAAAUCACUGGAGGUAGUUUUGCCUGACAGGUGUUAAAUUGUCUGGAUGCAUCAGUUUGAUUGGGACCUUUUUGAUGUCUUUAUUUUGACAUGUAUGUGUAAUCCUUUAAUUCUAUCAUUGAUGGCAGAACAGGGAGUCCAGUCCUUUUGAAAUAGCAGAAAAAUGUCACUAAGUGAUGCAGAAAUGCAAUAAUUUUAUGUCAGAAGUUUCUUCACACAUUGGAUUCUUACAGACAAAGAGCUCAGGUAUAGGACAGUUGUCUAGACUUUGUUGACAUGGCAGGGCCAGCAGUGGAGUUGCACUACUCUCCCCUACGCUCCCCUCACAGUGUACACACAGGAGGGAGAUGGGUGCAGAUAAAACGCCUGGGUUACGCCCUGCCGAGGAAUUGGGAUGCCUGGGGGGGCCGGGAAACUUUCUGCCUGGCUGGCCCUUAAUAUUGUGAUUCUCCUCAGUCAACAAAGCUUUGCGUUUGAUGGAACAUGUCAGGUUCUUCUAGGAUCCACUCAGGGAGCUGGUCCUCUCCUCUGGUUAGACAGCUGUCGGCUCCUCAGAGCCUAGAGAGCCUGCGACUGCUGCAUGUGUUUUUGGAGACUUCAAAGCAAGAGAGCUGAGAGAGGUGGGGGUUGAUGUUAAAGCAAUUAAACUUUUUUUUCCUGAGAUUUGUUUAGAUUUUGUUUCCUGAUAAUAAGUGAGGUUGCAGUUAUUGUUUUUGUCAGAUCUUUGAGGCAUUUUUUCUCUUACAACUUAGCUUUGCGUUUUGACAGAGAGAAGUUAGCUUGAUAAUUUGUUACUGAACAACUAUAGGACAGUGAAUGUAAAAGUCUCUAAAACAUUGUAACCACUUGAUGAUCACUCAUUUACACUAUCUUUACUCUGAAAAUAGUCAUUCUGACAAUUUCCACCAAUGCAAUAACACUCAAUGUGCAUGAGUAGGACAUAGUAAGCCACUCUAAGUACUCGAGGAUGUAUGUAAAUGCUUGUUGAAACAGAUUUGUGCGUGGGUAAUCAGGCAAGUCUGUGCAAGGAUGUCAGAAUCUCAUAUCAAUGUGUUUGAUAUAAGGAGCAUUUUCCAUGACUUACCUGAUCUUCUGCCCCGCAGCGAAAAAACAAACUGUAAUUGGAUUUAAUAGGAUGCUUCUGCACUUGUGAUUGUGGUCAUUAAAGUGUGUGAGAUCUCUGCUCAUCAUGAUGCUGUUGUAGUGACACUUCAGUGUAUUGACUUGAUCAGACAGAGCGUGUCCCUUCUCCUUGACUCCAUGGCGACUUGUCACGGGGGGGGUUGCGCUGUGGGAGUUGCUGUUGCUGGUGUAACUCGACCUUGCCUCCUCCAACCACCUGUGCUCGCGUGCUCAGGGAAAACACUGGCUUGUGUGUUGGAGUGAGACGUCCACACAGCUGGGGGGCUGAGGUACAUUAGGCAGCUAUGACAGGUGGCAUUCUCCCCCAGCAGCGAGGAGCAUGGAUAUUGUCGGGGCUGUUAGUGUAACAGCUGCACCACGCUUCCAUGGAGGUCGGGGUUAAAUCUUUUGUUCUGAUUAAGACGUCAGGGAAAAUCAGGAAGUUCAUUUCUAAAUCUCAAUUAGGAGGCAUUUGUUUGGGAUGUGUGCACGUCACUGUGCGGAUACAGGAGCAGUCUUGCAUGGCAGUGGGAGGCCGGGGGUUGGGAUUGUACGUGGAUGUUUGUGUUUGUGUAGCUGUGUGCAUUUGUGGAGCAAGGCAAUCAAUCUGAAUGCUGGAGCCUGAAGUGUGCAUCAGCAGCACAGUGUCUGUCUGAGGGAGGAGAAACAGUUUAGGACCAGACCCCUGGGACUGGACGGGAAAGGGCAAAGGGGGCAGUAGCUUUUGAGGUUGAUGUGACGUGAGUUUUUGUGGCUGAGGCAGAGUGGUGACUUGUACUUUAGAUGGACCCAGCUUCUCUCCAGACCAGUAAGUAAAAUACACUCCGUCGUAUGUCCAGGGUUAUGAGCGUUUUGUUAAAUUGUCUUUGGAGGGGUCGAAAAAUAGAUAAUAAAUCAAGUUCUGGUGAGUCAGAGUUGGUUGAUUAACUUAUGUUGGCAAACUUUUCGGUCUGUUUGUUGUAGAAUUGGAUUGUGGCUAUUAGACCCAUGAAAAUAAACAGUUUGCUGAUUUUAAAAAGUAUAUUCUAAAAUCACAAGCAAUUUAUCAUUGUUUCUGAGACUUAACAGAUUUACUGAUACUGGAAUUAAUUGUUUCUGGCAGACCUAGUUGGUGUGGUUUUUCUAAGCUGCAGCAAAGCAGAGCUGCAAUGAUCGGAUGGAUUCAGCUGUUUUCAUAACUUAUAAAUUUAAACGUCUCCACUGUGUCAAAAUUCCUGUGAAAGAUUCAGAUAUCAAUGAAGAGUUUAAGAGGAAGAACUGGGUUGAAGUUUGAAGACUUCAUCACUGUGUAUUGGGUGGCCUGGGUGGCACUAUGAGGUUGGUACGAAGUGAUGUCGGACCAAGGUGUCACAUUCCACAGUUUGGUGUGGGUGUGUGUGUCUGUGUCAGGAGUGACCACCCAUGUAUUUACAGCAGAACAUGUACCUGAUCUCAGUUUGCCUAAAGGAAUGAUACAGUUCAGUCUUCAGUUGUUAAAUGUUUCUGUUUACUGGGUGAUGAUAAGUUAAGUGUGUGAAUGUAUGUGUGUGAGUGAGGUUGUGUUUUUAUAUCCUUGUUGGUACCAACUCUUUUUUUUUUUUUGGUUAUAUGUUUAUUAAAUUUUUCCAGAAACAAACCAAAAAAAAAAAACAUACAUUUGGCUCACACACACACACACAUUUUGUUUAAAUUUAUACAGGCGAGAGAUUCAUGAGUCAUCUCAUACAAAUAAAAUUGGUAAGUAAAAUAAAAGUAAAAUCAAUCAAGUGCACAUUACCGUGCAUAAUAGGUUCAUAUAUUCAAAGAAAGGUAUAGAAGCAAGAACAUUAAUUAAAUAAGACGCCAUUUUUAGGCAGUGCAUUAAAAGCUAUGAUAGCAACCCUCUCAUGAGAAUGUCAGAGAUAUUUAAACCAACAUAUGACAGAAAGGGUUCCCAUGUUUUACGAAACGCGUCAUCUUUGCUGUAUAGUUUACACGUCAG
rnacentral:lncRNA from 1 species